AAAAUCUCGAAAGAAAAAUGGCAACGCUGAUUUGUCAAUCUCUUUUAUUGGGACUUUUAUGCAUUGCGUUGGUUUUGGCUUCAGCAGGAGCAACACCAGAUUUGAAGGAUCCUACUAGGGCUUCUGCAUGCACUAGCACACCUGGAUGCGCAAAGUAUUACUUCAAAGAUCCAGAAUGUAUGAGAAGCUAAAAUAAAAAAGAAAUUAUGCAAGUGAAGAGUGUUAGUAAGAGUUGUUUCAAAUAAAAAUAAUAUGUACCUGAGUAAAAAAUUACUGAUAUUCAACAAUCAUCAACAUAUGAGCAAUAUAUUGAUAAGUCUUUAUUCUUCA